GAGGGGGUGGGCAAGCGUUAUCCGGAUUUACUGGGCGUAAAAGAGCGCGGUAGGCGGUCUUAUAAGUCUCGGGCGCAAAUCUCACCGCUCAACGGUGAAACUUGUCGAGAUACUGUAAGACUUGUGAAUAGCAGGGGUAAGCGGAAUUCCCGGUGUAGGGGUAAAAUCCAUUGAUAUCGGGAGGAACACCAAUGGCAAAGGCAGCUUACUAGGCUAUUUCAGACGCUGAGGCGCGAAAGCGUGGGGAGCGAACGGGAUUAGAUACCCCGGUAGUCCACGCCGUAAACGAUGCUGACUAGCUAUUGGGAGUAUCGACCCUUUCUGUAGCGAAGCUAACGCGUUAAGUCAGCCGCCUGGGGAGUACGGUCGCAAGACUA
rnacentral:rRNA from 1 species